CUCGUAGGCGGUUCGUUGCGUCCGGUGUGAAAGUCCAUCGCUUAACGGUGGAUCCGCGCCGGGUACGGGCGGGCUUGAGUGCGGUAGGGGAGACUGGAAUUCCCGGUGUAACGGUGGAAUGUGUAGAUAUCGGGAAGAACACCAAUGGCGAAGGCAGGUCUCUGGGCCGUUACUGACGCUGAGGAGCGAAAGCGUGGGGAGCGAACA
rnacentral:rRNA from 1 species